rnacentral:rRNA from 1 species
GAGUUUGAUCCUGGCUCAGAUUGAACGCUGGCGGCAUGCCUUACACAUGCAAGUCGAACGGCAGCACGGGAGCUUGCUCCUGGUGGCGAGUGGCGAACGGGUGAGUAAUGCAUCGGAACGUAUCCUGGAGUGGGGGAUAACGUAGCGAAAGUUACGCUAAUACCGCAUAUUCUGUGAGCAGGAAAGCGGGGGACCUUCGGGCCUCGCGCUCUUGGAGCGGCCGAUGUCGGAUUAGCUAGUUGGUGAGGUAAAGGCUCACCAAGGCGACGAUCCGUAGCAGGUCUGAGAGAUGAUCUGCCACACUGGAACUGAGACACGGUCCAGACUCCUACGGGAGGCAGCAGUGGGGAAUUUUGGACAAUGGGGCAACCCUGAUCCAGCCAUGCCGCGUGAGUGAAG